GAGGCUGCAGCUCUUCUCGAAGCGACACCGCAGCUGUGCAGACGCUGCUUGGAGCUACUGCGGAGACGGCAUCGCACUGGACUUCAAGGACAACAACAACAACAAAAAGCCUUCCAUCACAUAUUGCAAAAGCCUUGGUUCGCCAGGAUCUUUUAAAGGAUUUUUUUAAAAUUUUCUUCUAAUUGAAGGGAUUAAAUUGCUUCUAGCGAUGGCACAUGUGGAUAACUUUUUACUCAAACCUGAUCCUCUGAUGGCAUCAACCGAUGGAUUCAGGACUCAAGCUGUGGAUGUUUUACGGUACAAAAGGGGAUUAUCAUGUCCAGGACUGCAUGGAUCCUGCUUGUUGGACAAGUCCGCUAUCGGACAGCGGAGUCUCUUGGGAUACUUGGGAUACACGCGUGAUCCAGACUGGCCAUUGUCAGGGAUGAUCACUUAUGUUACACUUCUGGAAAUCCAGAGCCUGUGUUGUGGAGUUUAGGUUUGACAAAGAAACCCCAAGAAUAUGAUGGAAUAUAAUUUGAGCGCUGCGCUCAAGUGGAUGUCCAGUGGAUUUUGGAUAACGUCAGCAAGACUCUCUUAAACCAGCAGGGAAGGAAUCCACUUUUUGGGGGGAGUGAAAUGUCAGCCUUUAAUUGCCUUCCAGAGAUUUUCUGAUGAUCUCAGGUGAACACCAGGAAGCGAAUGAGUAAUGGAAAGAUGACCUCAACAGGUUUAACAGGAUCACAUUAAAUCCUGGUUUGGACUGUGGACCAGCAUCUCAUUCAGCGGAUGUUUGCUCCUGGCAUGUCUGCUGACAGCAUGAGCUCCAUCACUGACAAUCUAGCUCUCAGGAUCCAGGCAGGAGCUCGAACUUGGAAAAGUCGUGACAUGAACUCAGCGGAACAAUGGGGCGCAUUUUGCUGCUCAGACAUUGUGGGACACAUCCAUCAACGUCUGGAGAAGUGCUCGGUCAACAUGAUGAAUGCACGUUUAUCGUAUUCUCCACCACCAUCUACAUAUUGUUUGACUUUGUUGCUGAGUUGAAUGUGGGUUAAUACUUUCCUUCGUAUACAUCUGCUCUUAAUUUCCUGUCUUUAUUCAUCCUAUGCUUGUGCAUUAUGGUUGUAUACAGUAUUGCAAGUGCUAGCAGUAUUAAUGGAAAAUCCUCAGAUGAUGUUUUCACACCUAGGUUUAUUUUUGCAAAUUGAACACAGUUCCUCACCUGCGCACCAAUAUAUAAGUUUAAUCUGUCGGGUGAAGAAAACUGCAAAAAGACUGUUUUUAAAUCUAGAUUCUGCAGGAGGAUCAUUCAUGCAGUUCAAAUACAGCCUUGACUUUCAAAAUGCAGUCAUAAUUGUAAUCAA